CCUCGGCCCAGCCAGUGAUUUUGAGGCAGGGGCAUUACUGCCCACCUACCUCUCCUGCAGACCCUAGCCUCAGCACCCACCCACUAGCCUGGCCUGUCCCCGGCAGCACGCCACAGAUGGACCCGAUGGCAGUCUUCUGGCCAGCCAGUGAUUCUGAGCUCUUCCUCCUCUCACAGCCUGUCCUGUCCCGGACUGCAGUCCACAGACAGACCCAGCGACAGGCCUUUACCUAGCCUGUGAUUCUGAGGCAGGGACAUCACUGCCCAACUACCUCUCCUGCAGACCCCAGCCCUGGAGCCCCACUGCCUAGCCUGUCUAGCACCCAGCUGCAGGCCACAGACAG